rnacentral:rRNA from 1 species
AACGGUAAGAAGGUUCGCCGGGGAUAACAGGUUAUAGUAUAUAUAGAGCUCAAAUCUUUAUAUACUAUUGGCACCUCCAUGUCGUCUCAUCGCAGCCU